GCUUAAGAUGACUAGGCGUAUUAGUUUCCCAUUAGGGAAUCCACUCGUGCGCCGGUGUACUGUCUCUAUAGCCUUUGUGUUGGUUGAUCGCUUUGCUUUACUUAAAUGCUCUUUUUGAGUGUUUACUUAGUUUGAUUUGCAGUUUGCAUAUCGAACUUGAUCUUGAUCUCAAAUCAGGCAAGACUACCCGCUGAAUUUAA
rnacentral:misc_RNA from 1 species